GAUGAACGCUAGCGGCAGGCCUAACACAUGCAAGUCGAGGGAGAAGCCCUUCGGGGCAGAAACCGGCGCACGGGUGCGUAACGCGUAUGUAACCUACCUUUCACAGGGGGAUAGCCCGAAGAAAUUUGGAUUAAUACCCCAUAAUAUUAUUGGAUGGCAUCAUUUGAUAAUUAAAAUUACGAUGGUGAAAGAUGGGCAUGCGUCCUAUUAGCUAGUUGGAGUGGUAACGGCACCCCAAGGCUACGAUAGGUAGGGGUCCUGAGAGGGAGAUCCCCCACACUGGUACUGAGACAGGGACCAGACUCCUACGGGAGGCAGCAGUGAGGAAUAUUGGUCAAUGGUCGGAAGACUGAACCAGCCAUGCCGCGUGCAGGAAGAAUGCCUUAUGGGUUGUAAAACUGCUUUUAUAUGGGAAGAAUAAAGGAAGUACG
rnacentral:rRNA from 1 species